UAGCAGUUCGUUGAUGAAAGACGUGUCUGUCCACUGGGGACUCCAGUAUUGGGGCCCUACCGGACAGUACCAAAAAAUGUGAUUCCUGUGGAUUCUUGGGCAUCAACGGUUUGAAGUUUGGAGGAAGCUCUAGCCAUUCAAAAAUUUAUUAAACUUCUCAAGAUUAUUACAACAGUUGCCACUUAUCACUCGUGACAUCAUGACUUGUGGCCAAUUUAAACGAGAAAACAGUGCGAUGGUGCCACUUACGGCGAUCUGUGGCAAAAGCGCCGAGUAUCCCGGGAACUUAAAAAGUCAUGUGAAAUGAGGUGUCGAGUUGGCGAUGUCAAAGAACGCAGCAGAAAAUUGGUGCUCGAACAGAGGUAAACAAACGCUCUGUGCCAAUGCAACCGAUCGCCACCAGCACUUGAGCCACUUCGUGGCAAAUUAUAAUUAAAAUGGGAAACACGUAGGAAAUGUCAACACGCACGAUGAUGAUGAAUUAAGUGGCAACGAGCAAGUACCAC